AGUUACCAGCACGGUUAUGGUGGGCACUCUAAGGAGACUGCCGGUGACAAACCGGAGGAAGUGGGGAUGACGUCAAGUCAUCAUGGCCCUUACGGCCUGGGCUACACACGUGCUACAAUGGUCGGUACAAAGGGUUGCCAAGCCGCGAGGUGGAGCUAAUCCCAUAAAACCGAUCGUAGUCCGGAUCGCAGUCUGCAACUCGACUGCGUGAAGUCGGAAUCGCUAGUAAUCGUGAAUCAGAAUGUCACGGUGAAUACGUUCCCGGGCCUU
rnacentral:rRNA from 1 species